UAGCUCAGUUGGUAGAGCAGUUGACUUUUAAUCAAUUGGUCGCAGGUUCGAAUCCU
rnacentral:tRNA from 11 species